AGUGAACGCUGGCGGUAGGCCUAACACAUGCAAGUCGAACGGCAGCACAGUAAGAGCUUGCUCUUACGGGUGCGAGUGGCGGACGGGUGAGGAAUACAUCGGAAUCUACUUUUUCGUGGGGGAUAACGUAGGGAAACUUACGCUAAUACCGCAUACGACCUACGGGUGAAAGCAGGGGAUCUUCGGACCUUGCGCGAUUGAAUGAGCCGAUGUCGGAUUAGCUAGUUGGCGGGGUAAAGGCCCACCAAGGCGACGAUCCGUAGCUGGUCUGAGAGGAUGAUCAGCCACACUGGAACUGAGACACGGUCCAGACUCCUACGGGAGGCAGCAGUGGGGAAUAUUGGACAAUGGGCGCAAGCCUGAUCCAGCCAUACCGCGUGGGUGAAGAAGGCCUUCGGGUUGUAAAGCCCUUUUGUUGGGAAAGAAAAGCAGCAGGUUAAUACCCCGCUGUUCUGACGGUACCCAAAGAAUAAGCACCGGCUAACUUCGCG
rnacentral:rRNA from 1 species